rnacentral:rRNA from 1 species
AUGCCAGACUCCUACGGGAGGCAGCAGUGGGGAAUAUUGCACAAUGGGGGAAACCCUGAUGCAGCGACGCCGCGUGAGUGAAGAAGUCUUUCGGUAUGUAAAGCUCUAUCAGCAGGGAAGAAAAAAGACGGUACCUGACUAAGAAGCCCCGGCUAACUACGUGCCAGCAGCCGCGGUAAUACGUAGGGGGCAAGCGUUAUCCGGAAUUACUGGGUGUAAAGGGUGCGUAGGUGGCAUGGUAAGUCAGAAGUGAAAGCCCGGGGCUUAACCCCGGGACUGCUUUUGAAACUGUCAUGCUGGAGUGCAGGAGAGGUAAGCGGAAUUCCUAGUGUAGCGGUGAAAUGCGUAGAUAUUAGGAGGAACACCAGUGGCGAAGGCGACUUACUGGACUGUAACUGACGUUGAGGCACGAAAGUGUGGGGAGCAAACAGGAUUAGAUACCCCAGUA